rnacentral:lncRNA from 1 species
UAUAAUGAAACGUGUGAAUUUGUCAAAAGAAACAAUCAGAAUGUCCUAUUUUUUGGGUUUUAGGUUUAUUGAGGGAUUUUGAUUUCGUUAGUAGCCAAAAACUAAAAUACACGAAGUUCCUAUUCUAAUUAGUAGCAAACCCCUAAACCAAUGUCUCAAAAAUUGAAAACAAUAAAAAAAUCCCAAAAUCGAAAACCCUAAACUAAAAUCCCCAAAAUAAAAAAAUCAUAAAGAAAAAUCCCCAAAAUCAAAAUAACCUAACCCCAAAUCCCUAAAUUCGACAACCUAAACAAAUAUCCCUAAACUAAAAGACCC